UACUUAGUGGCGGACGGGUGAGUAACGCGUGGGUAACCUGCCUCAUACAGGGGGAUAACAGUUGGAAACGGCUGCUAAAACCGCAUAAGCAUACAGUGCCGCAUGGUACAGUGUGAAAAUAUUUAUAGGUAUGAGAUGGGCCCGCGUCUGAUUAGCUAGUUGGUAGGGUAACGGCCUACCAAGGCAACGAUCAGUAGCCGGCUUGAGAGAGUGACCGGCCACAUUGGGACUGAGACACGGCCCAAACUCCUACGGGAGGCAGCAGUGGGGAAUAUUGCACAAUGGGGGAAACCCUGAUGCAGCGACGCCGCGUGAGUGAAGAAGUAUUUCGGUAUGUAAAGCUCUAUCAGCAGGGAAGAAAAUGACGGUACCUGACUAAGAAGCCCCGGCUAACUACGUGCCAGCAGCCGCGGUAAUACGUAGGGGGCAAGCGUUAUCCGGAUUUACUGGGUGUAAAGGGAGCGUAGGUGGUUUGGUAAGUCAGAUGUGAAAGCCCGGGGCU
rnacentral:rRNA from 1 species